UACAGAGGUCCCAAGCGUUGUUCGGAUUCACUGGGCGUAAAGGGUGCGUAGGCGGUCGGGUAAGUCUGAUGUGAAAUCGUCACAGCUUAACUGUGAAACUGCAUUGGAUGCUAUCCGGCUCGAGGAAUGGAGGGGAGACUGGAAUACUUGGUGUAGCAGUGAAAUGCGUAGAUAUCAAGUGGAACACCAGUGGCGAAGGCGAGUCGUCUGGACAUUUCCUGACGUGAGGCACGAAAGCCAGGGGAGCAACGGG
rnacentral:rRNA from 1 species